AGAGUUUGAUCCUGGCUCAGAAUAAACGUUGGCGGUGCGCCUUAUGCAUGCAAGUCGAACGAGGUUAUGGUCUUCGGACUGUAAUCGAGUGGCAAACGGCUGAGUAACGCGUAAGUAACCUACCUCGGAGUGGGGGAUAACUUGCCGAAAGGCAAGCUAAUACCGCAUACAGUAAUCAAGCGAUGCUUGAUUAUUAAAGCUGCAAAGUGCUCUGAGAGGGGCUUGCGUCUGAUUAGCUAGUUGGUGGAGUAAUAGCCCACCAAGGCGAUGAUCAGUAGCUGGUCUGAGAGGAUGGUCAGCCAGAUGGGGACUGAGACACUGCCCUAACUCCUACGGGAGGCAGCAGCAAGGAAUAUUGGGCAAUGGGCGUAAGCCUGACCCAGCGACACCGCGUGAGGGAAGAAGGCCUUCGGGUUGUAAACCUCUUUUCUCGGGGAAGAAUUUCGACGGUACCCGAGGAAUAAGCCUCGGCUAACUACGUGCCAGCAGCCGCGGUAAUACGUAGGAGGCGAACGUUAUUCGGAUUUACUGGGCGUAAAGAGAGUGUAGGCGGCUUCCCAAGUCAGAUGUGAAAUCUUCUGACUCAAUCAGAAGAGGUCGUUUGAUACUGGGGGGCUUGAGGACAGCAGAGGGAAAUGGAAUUCCCGGUGUAGCGGUGAAAUGCGUAGAUAUCGGGGAGAACACCAGUGGCGAAGGCGAUUUCCCAGGCUGUUCCUGACGCUGAGAUUCGAAAGCGUGGGGAGCGAUGCGGAUUAGAUACCCGCGUAGUCCACGCCCUAAACGGUGGACACUAGACAUGGGAGGCAUCGACCCUUUCCGUGUCGAAGCUAACGCCUUAAGUGUCCCGCCUGGGGAGUACGGCCGCAAGGCUAAAACUCAAAGGAAUUGACGG
rnacentral:rRNA from 1 species